UGGCUCAGGACGAACGCUGGCGGCAGGCCUAACACAUGCAAGUCGAACGGUAACAGGAAACAGCUUGCUGUUUCGCUGACGAGUGGCGGACGGGUGAGUAAUGUCUGGGAAACUGCCUGAUGGAGGGGGAUAACUACUGGAAACGGUAGCUAAUACCGCAUAACGUCGCAAGACCAAAGAGGGGGACCUUCGGGCCUCUUGCCAUCGGAUGUGCCCAGAUGGGAUUAGCUUGUUGGUGGGGUAACGGCUCACCAAGGCGACGAUCCCUAGCUGGUCUGAGAGGAUGACCAGCCACACUGAACUAGACACGUUCC
rnacentral:rRNA from 1 species